CGAGGAAUAUUGGUCAAUGGGCGGAAGCCUGAACCAGCCAUCCCGCGUGCAGGAAGACGGCCCUAUGGGUUGUAAACUGCUUUUCCAGGGGGAGAAACUUUCCGAUGAAUCGGGAUUUGACGGUACCCUGGGAAUAAGCAUCGGCUAACUCCGUGCCAGCAGCCGCGGUAAUACGGAGGAUGCGAGCGUUAUCCGGAUUUAUUGGGUUUAAAGGGUGCGUAGGCGGAUCGAUAAGUCAGUGGUGAAAACCUGCAGCUUAACUGUAGACUUGCCGUUGAUACUGUUGGUCUUGAGUAUGGUCAAGGUAGGCGGAACGUGUAAUGUAGCGGUGAAAUGCUUAGAUAUUACACAGAACACCGAUUGCGAAGGCAGCUUACUGGACCAUCACUGACGCUGAUGCACGGAAGCGUGGGGAUCGAACAG
rnacentral:rRNA from 1 species